UGUCUUAUGCCCGUUUUCACCAACAACCUCUUACCGUUUCCCUAUCUAAAUGCUACUUUUAGUAAGGAUCCCUCCCAAUUUGACACCUACCUAAAUUCAUUUUCACCACACUUGUACAUGGAUCCCUUAAGUAAGUGACAGAUUACUAGUUCUACAAACGAUAAUGCAAAGUCGAUAUUUUAUCGAUAAAAUGAUUUUUUUGUACUUCUUAAGAAAUAAACGUCUAUCGAGUAUAUAUUACUAAAGCCUGUGAGUUUUUUUUCUUGUGAUGUUAUUUUAAUUUAACUUAAACUACAUUACGCUAUGUUUUAUGCAAUAAAACAGUAAAGAGGUUUUCUAUAGGUGAAUUUUUACCUAUGUCAUUCGCGCGUUUGUCAAUCAAAUUGACUGAUGUGUAUGUGUACAUAGAGUGAGGUUAAUUUUGGGUUUAUUAUUGUUGAAUAGAUAAGUUUAUUUUGGCAGAGAAGAGAAAACGAGGAUAAACCUUUCUUGCAGAAGAAAAAGAUAAGCUAGGAAAUUGCUGACGUCUCAUAGAGACACAAUAUUGAACAAAAAACGGAUGGGACCACGAACGAAGCCAAAAACAAAGCUUGGAUCCAGUCACAAAUAGUUUUAAUGCGACAGGAACCCUUUACAGUUUCAGGUGGUGCGAGAAAUUGGAAAGACGUGUAAAAACAUCCUGCGCCCAGCCCACCUCAAAUUGAAUUGGUGCAGGAGGAUGAUGAUACUGUUUGGUACAUCAUAUGAGGACUAAUAUUAAAAUAUUUGUUUAC
rnacentral:lncRNA from 1 species